rnacentral:rRNA from 1 species
UGAGGAAUAUUGGUCAAUGGGCGAGAGCCUGAACCAGCCAAGUAGCGUGCAGGAUGACGGCCCUAUGGGUUGUAAACUGCUUUUAUGUGGGGAUAAAGUGCGUGACGUGUCAUGCAUUGCAGGUACCACAUGAAUAAGCAUCGGCUAACUCCGUGCCAGCAGCCGCGGUAAUACGGAGGAUGCGAGCGUUAUCCGGAUUUAUUGGGUUUAAAGGGUGCGUAGGUGGGCUGUUAAGUCAGCGGUGAAAGUUUGUCGCUUAACGAUAAAAUUGCCGUUGAAACUGGUAGUCUUGAGUAUAGAUGAAGUAGGCGGAAUGCGUGGUGUAGCGGUGAAAUGCAUAGAGAUCACGCAGAACUCCGAUUGCGAAGGCAGCUUACUAAGGUAUAACUGACACUGAAGCACGAAAGCGUGGGUAUCAAACAGG